GCCUGAGUGGCUCAGUCGGUUGAGCGUCCGACUUCAGCUCAGGUCAUGAUCUCACGGUUCGUGAGUUCGAGCCCUGCGUCAGGCU
rnacentral:tRNA from 1 species